rnacentral:rRNA from 1 species
UGCAGUCGAGAAUCUUCGGCAAUGGACGCAAGUCUGACCGAGCGACGCCGCGUGCGGGAUGAAGGCCCUUGGGUUGUAAACCGCUGUCAGAGGGGAUGAAAUGCGAGAGGGCUAUCCCUCUCGUUUGACAGAGCCUCAGAGGAAGCACGGGCUAAGUACGUGCCAGCAGCCGCGGUAACACGUACUGUGCGAACGUUAUUCGGAAUCACUGGGCUUAAAGGGUGCGUAGGCGGUUUAAUAAGU